GACGAACGCUGGCGGCGUGCUUAACACAUGCAAGUCGAACGGUGAAGCGCCUUCCUUUUUGGUGGGUGUGGAUGAGUGGCGAACGGGUGAGUAACACGUGAGUAACCUGCCCCCUUCUUCUGGAUAACCGCAUGAAAGUGUGGCUAAUACGGGAUAUUCUGGGUCUGUCGCAUGAUGGGUCUGGGAAAGAUAUUGUUUCGGUGGGGGAUGGGCUCGCGGCCUAUCAGCUUGUUGGUGGGGUGAUGGCCUACCAAGGCGGUGACGGGUAGCCGGCCUGAGAGGGUGGACGGUCACACUGGGACUGAGACACGGCCCAGACUCCUACGGGAGGCAGCAGUGGGGAAUAUUGCACAAUGGGCGCAAGCCUGAUGCAGCGACGCCGCGUGAGGGAUGGAGGCCUUCGGGUUGUGAACCUCUUUCGCCAGUGAAGCAGGCCUGCCUCGUUUGUGGGUGGGUUGACGGUAGCUGGAUAAGAAGCGCCGGCCAACUACGU
rnacentral:rRNA from 1 species